AAGUCGUAACAAGGUAUCUGUAGGUGAACCUGCAGAUGGAUCAUUUCGAUGAAAACCUUUUUUCUGAGGUGUGGCUCGCACCUGUCUAACUAAACUUGAGCUACCUUUUUAACACGGUUGCAUCGGUUGGGCCUGUCAAACAGUGCAAUUACGCGCUGGGAGACGGUCUCGACACUUUUAACCAAACACUUUUGAUGAUCUAGGAUUUGAAUGAAGUUCAUUUUUACGAUGGAACCGACUGGUAAUGCGGUCGACUAAAUCUAAAAAACAACUUUUGGCAACGGAUCUCUUGGUUCUCC
rnacentral:misc_RNA from 1 species